rnacentral:lncRNA from 1 species
CCAUGGACUGUUUCAGAAAAAAAGAAAAUAUUGGAAUGUUGACCCUGUCAUUGGGUAAACACUCCUAACUCAGAAGCUAUUCCACAAUGUCUUGGAACAUCUCAAGGAAGAAAAGAUGCAGCUGGUGAUUUCCAAAACCAGGUAACCAAGGCUCACUCAGUAUAAGAGAUGGGCAGAAAUCCUCAAAAGCAGGAUUCAAGAUAUCAAGGCCUCCCCCAUUUCAUAAAGCCAACCAAAAAAAUGAUGAUUCUGGAUGCCCCAAGGCACCUACAACUUCCCCUCAUGGAUUUUAUGAAUGACAAGUUGAUAAACUCAAAAUACAAGUCUACAGAAACCUUUCUCAAUGAGGACAUCAAAGCAGAAAAUGUUAAGUACAGACUGCCAAUGAGGGCCAUCUGGGGUCCCAAAAAACCCUUACAGACACUAUAUACUGACCUUAUAACAUCCUCCAAGACUCCAACUUACAAAAAAGAAUCUCUUCCAGAUCCGAAGAAUACGUGGGCAGAAUUCAACAUCAACAAGAUUCCUAAGCACAGUAAAUACUACUGA